rnacentral:rRNA from 1 species
AGACCCGAAACCCGGUGAUCUAGCCAUGGGCAGGUUGAAGGUUGGGUAACACUAACUGGAGGACCGAACCGACUAAUGUUGAAAAAUUAGCGGAUGACCUGUGGCUGGGGGUGAAAGGCCAAUCAAACCGGGAGAUAGCUGGUUCUCCCCGAAAGCUAUUUAGGUAGCGCCUCGUGAAUUCAUCUCCGGGGGUAGAGCACUGUUUCGGCUAGGGGGCCAUCCCGGCUUACCAACCCGAUGCAAACUGCGAAUACCGGAGAAUGUUAUCACGGGAGACACACGGCGGGUGCUAACGUCCGUCGUGAAGAGGGAAACAACCCAGACCGCCAGCUAAGGUCCCAAAGUCAUGGUUAAGUGGGAAACGAUGUGGGAAGGCCCAGACAGCCAGGAUGUUGGCUUAGAAGCAGCCAUCAUUUAAAGAAAGCGUAAUAGCUCACUGGUCGAGUCGGCCUGCGCGGAAGAUGUAACGGGGCUAAACCAUGCACCGAAGCUGCGGCAGCGACGCUGAUGCGUUGUUGGGUAGGGGAGCGUUCUGUAAGCCUGCGAAGGUGGCCUGUGAGGGUUGCUGGAGGUAUCAGAAGUGCGAAUGCUGACAUAAGUAACGAUAAAGCGGGUGAAAAGCCCGCUCGCCGGAAGACCAAGGGUUCCUGUCCAACGUUAAUCGGGGCAGGGUGAGUCGACCCCUAAGGCGAGGCCGAAAGGCGUAGUCGAUGGGAAACGGGUUAAUAUUCCCGUACUUGGUGUUACUGCGAAGGGGGGACGGAGAAGGCUAUGUUGGCCGGGCGACGGUUGUCCCGGUUUAAGCGUGUAGGUGUGUGUUCC